rnacentral:scRNA from 1 species
AUGCGGUUUGCCACCGGGUCUAUAACGCCUAA